rnacentral:rRNA from 1 species
GCCGGAGGGAAACCGAGUCUUAACCGGGCGUUAAGUUGCAGGGUAUAGACCCGAAACCCGGUGAUCUAGCCAUGGGCAGGUUGAAGGUUGGGUAACACUAACUGGAGGACCGAACCGACUAAUGUUGAAAAAUUAGCGGAUGACCUGUGGCUGGGGGUGAAAGGCCAAUCAAACCGGGAGAUAGCUGGUUCUCCCCGAAAGCUAUUUAGGUAGCGCCUCGUGAAUUCAUCUCCGGGGGUAGAGCACUGUUUCGGCUAGGGGGCCAUCCCGGCUUACCAACCCGAUGCAAACUGCGAAUACCGGAGAAUGUUAUCACGGGAGACACACGGCGGGUGCUAACGUCCGUCGUGAAGAGGGAAACAACCCAGACCGCCAGCUAAGGUCCCAAAGUCAUGGUUAAGUGGGAAACGAUGUGGGAAGGCCCAGACAGCCAGGAUGUUGGCUUAGAAGCAGCCAUCAUUUAAAGAAAGCGUAAUAGCUCACUGGUCGAGUCGGCCUGCGCGGAAGAUGUAACGGGGCUAAACCAUGCACCGAAGCUGCGGCAGCGACACUCAGGUGUUGUUGGGUAGGGGAGCGUUCUGUAAGCCUGUGAAGGUGGCCUGUGAGGGUUGCUGGAGGUAUCAGAAGUGCGAAUGCUGACAUAAGUAACGAUAAAGCGGGUGAAAAGCCCGCUCGCCGGAAGACCAAGGGUUCCUGUCCAACGUUAAUCGGGGCAGGGUGAGUCGACCCCUAAGGCGAGGCCGAAAGGCGUAGUCGAUGGGAAACGGGUUAAUAUUCCCGUACUUGGUGUUACUGCGAAGGGGGGACGGAGAAGGCUAUGUUGGCCGGGCGACGGUUGUCCCGGUUUAAGCGUGUAGGUGUGUGUUCCAGGUAAAUCCGGUUCACUUUAACACUGAGGCGUGAUGACGAGGCACUACGGUGCUGAAGCAACAAAUGCCCUGCUUCCAGGAAAAGCCUCUAAGCAUCAGGUAACAUCAAAUCGUACCCCAAACCGACACAGGUGGUCAGGUAGAGAAUACCAAGGCGCUUGAGAGAACUCGGGUGAAGGAACUAGGCAAAAUGGUGCCGUAACUUCGGGAGAAGGCACGCUGACAUGUAGGUGAAGUGAUUUACUCACGGAGCUGAAGUCAGUCGAAGAUACCAGCUGGCUGCAACUGUUUAUUAAAAACACAGCACUGUGCAAACACGAAAGUGGACGUAUACGGUGUGACGCCUGCCCGGUGCCGGAAGGUUAAUUGAUGGGGUCAGCGCAAGCGAAGCUCCUGAUCGAAGCCCCGGUAAACGGCGGCCGUAACUAUAACGGUCCUAAGGUAGCGAAAUUCCUUGUCGGGUAAGUUCCGACCUGCACGAAUGGCGUAAUGAUGGCCAGGCUGUCUCCACCCGAGACUCAGUGAAAUUGAACUCGCUGUGAAGAUGCAGUGUACCCGCGGCAAGACGGAAAGACCCCGUGAACCUUUACUAUAGCUUGACACUGAACAUUGAGCCUUGAUGUGUAG